rnacentral:tRNA from 4 species
GCCCACGUAGCUCAGUCGGCAGAGCACACCCUUGGUAAGGGUGAGGUCGGCGGUUCAAGUCCGCUCGUGGGCU